UACAGAGGUGGCAAGCGUUGUUCGGAAUUACUGGGCGUAAAGGGCGCGUAGGCGGUUCGUUAAGUCCUGUGUGAAAUCCCCCGGCUCAACUGGGGAACUGCACAGGAAACUAGCGGGCUUGAGUUCGGGAGAGGGAAGCGGAAUUCCGGGUGUAGCGGUGAAAUGCGUAGAUAUCCGGAGGAACACCGGUGGCGAAGGCGGCUUCCUGGACCGACACUGACGCUGAGGCGCGAAAGCUAGGGUAGCGAACGGG
rnacentral:rRNA from 1 species